CUAUAAAACAUAUAGAUAUAAUAAAUAUUUUUUUCUUUUAUAAUAAAAGACUAGUACUAUUCUAUCGCGCUCGUUUUCUCAAGUAAUAUGUAUUUUCUAUGGACCUCAUUUACUACUUAUGGCCACCUAUUUAAAUAUUCACGAUUAAAGCCUCUUGUAAGAGAUACUCUUUUCGUACAUCUCUUUCGAUGACAUUCGUUGCAUGAGCUCCAUUGGUCCCAGAAAUGCUUGUAUGACCUUCUGGUAGAGUUCUAGAGCCCAUGCGCGAAAUGGCUUGGCUAAUAUUUACACAGAAAAGCAGCAACAAAUCAAGCAGAAGACAAAGAAGCAAAAUGAUAGAGCAGUGUGUGUUGCGAGAGCCGUGCGAUGUUAGUACGAAACAUAAAGAAUGGUGGUCAUUUGCGAGUGUGUCAUCCUUAUCCUGCUUGGAAUUGUCAGUUGCACCUGUAAAGGGGCAAUGAUUGUCGUAGAGCAAUGCCACCGUCCCCAGGUCGAAAUUUACGACGGUGUAUUAUCGCAUCGGAGACAUCAUCAGGAAGCGAUGAAGUUCUAGUGAGUGUUCUACUUGUCGUGGAUGGUCGUACUACAGUUCCGGGUCUUCUGGCACCGCCGGCUGAAUUCUUGAAAAGAUUCACCUGUCCAGCCAAUCAUCUCGGAUCAAUACACUUGAUCCGCAACCAUUGGUGAGAAUCUACUUGAUCCUUCGUUCCAUCCACCAAUCGCGAGCAUCGUCUUCAAGUUUUUAUUAGCAUUAUCCUUGGUAAAACCUCCAAAGGCGUAUAUCAAGUGCGUGCAGAGAUAAGGAUUGAUGUUUUGCGGCGAGAAUUUGGCUGUCCCAGGUCGAUAGACUGACCAGUUGGUGUAGUAGCAUACGAUU